rnacentral:lncRNA from 1 species
UCCAACUCCUGACCUCAUGAUCCCCCCGCCUCAGCCUCCCAAAGUGCUGGGAUUACAAGCGUGAGCCACCGCGACCCGCCAACACUCUUGACAACAGUGCUGUGCUAAGAACUUGGGGGACUUCAAAAAGUUCACCAGUUCCUGUGUCCAUGGGUGAAAAGAUUUUCUACAUCUUUCCUUGACUAGAAACAGAAGUCCUGAAACAAGAAUAUAACGUCAGGAGGCCAGAGGCUUUGUCCUGCCUAAUGUGUUAUUUCCACACUGAAUAAAAGCACCUGAGUCCUGUCUCACUCCGUCACCCAGACUGGAGUGCGGUGGCAUGAUCUCAGCUCAAUGCAACCUCUGCCUCCUGCGUUCAAGUAAGUCUAAUUUGCUAGGUGUGGCAAUAUGACCAGUGAAAAACAACAAGGGCAGCAUUUCCUGCAGUUCGGUGGCACAGUAUGGUUCAAAGAGGUAUAAAAGGAAGUCACAGGCAUUUUAAAAAGGUUGUACAUCUAGCAAUACCUAACAAAAUAGGAAAUCAACUUGGAAAGCCAAUGGCUGUGUUUUGAGUUUAUGGAGAGCCAUAUGUGGCAAGGAACUGAGGGUGGCAUCCAGGCAACAGACUUCAAGAAACUGAGGCUGUCAGUCCAACAACCCACAAGAACUGAAUCUGACCAACAAUCACAGGAACAAACUUAGAAGUAUACUCUUUCCCAGACAAACCUUCAGAUGAGACCACAGCCCCAGCCAUAAGCUUGAAAACAAUCUCAUGAGGGACCUUGAGCCACAGGCAUGUAGUAAAGCUAUGCCAGGAAUCCUGCCUGCCCCACAGAAAAUGUAAAAAAAAUAAAUUUUUAUUGUUUUAAGCCA